rnacentral:rRNA from 1 species
AUUGAACGCUGGCGGCAGGCCUAACACAUGCAAGUCGAGCGGGGUUUUCGGACCUAGCGGCGGACGGGUGAGUAAUGCGUAGGAAGCUGCCCGAUAGAGGGGGAUACCAGUUGGAAACGACUGUUAAUACCGCAUAAUGUCUACGGACCAAAGUGUGGGACCUUCGGGCAACAUGCUAUCGGAUGCGCCUACGUGGGAUUAGCUAGUGGGUGAGGUAAUGGCUCACCAAGGCGACGAUCUCUAGCUGGUUUGAGAGGAUGAUCAGCCACACUGGAACUGAGACACGGUCCAGAGUCCUACGGGAGGCAGCAGUGGGGAAUAGUGGAAAAUGGGCGCAAGCCUGAUCCAGCCAUGCCGCGUGUGUGAAGAAGGCCUUCGGGUUGUAAAGCACUUUCAGCGAGGAGGAAGGGGUGUGUGUUAAUAGUACACACCUUUGACGUUACUCGCAGAAGAAGCACCGGCUAACUCUGUGCCAGCAGCCGCUGUAAAAC